rnacentral:lncRNA from 1 species
CACAAAUUCUUGUGCAGGAGUCAUGGAGAUCAAUGAACACACCCUUUAGCACUUUCUGCUGUCAGUUACAUGGCUCAUUCUCCAUUGACAGACAGAAUAGAGGAAUUCACUGGAAAGGAGAACCACUUCACAGCAACGUUUUACAAGAAGCCUGAUGGUGGGAUGGAGCCCGUCAUUCAUAUUAAUGAGACAUGCAUGGAAGUGGCAAUGAGCAUGUGGAGUGUGGCUAAAAGAAAUGUGGUUCUUCACUUGGAGCUGAUGUGAAACACAGGCAAUCUGUUGGCCUACUGAGAGGAACUUCUUUUAAAAGCCAAGAACAAGAAUACCACCCAAAGACAUCUGUUCCUCUCAUCCUUUAGUGAAGUGCAGAUGGAGAUUCCUACAUGGUUUUGUUGUCAUCAAUACCUUCAAGUGUUUCCUUCAGAAAAUCCUUUGGUGGAGAGUUUAAUACAGUAGGGAGGAAGCUUUUAGGUAUGUAUAAUAUUUCCUUUUCUGUCAUUAAAUAUUAAAACUUUUGUUGGAAUGCAUUCUAAGCAUCAUCUUUGGUAAAGAUUUUAUUCAACUCACCCAUCUG